UCUUCAGUCAUUGCCAAGAUGGCGUCUGCUAAGGUGAACUCUUUUAAGUUGUUCUCUUAUCAUGUAAGAAACACCACUUUGUGAUGGACAUUCCGGUAGAUUUCCAAUUUUGUUCGAUGGUGUGAAAUUCGCCUUAUAUUAUCGAGUGGUAGAAUUCCUUUUGAUGAGUGUUGUGCGUUGAAAUCACCUGCCGAAGAGCAAACACCUGAUCCAAGUGCUAAAAGGGGGAGAGGGAGGGGAUAGACAGAAUGCCCAGCUUGACAACAAUGAAUUGCGCUGGUCGUUCGCUAGUGGAUCAGCUCUCGUGCUGCUUCCAGCGACGGGAUAUGGAUGGCAAUCCCAGACAGCCUUCACUGGUUCCGCCAUUACUAGCCAUACCUGCCUUGAAACCGAAAAAGUCACGCAUUAGAAUGGACGUCGUGAUGCUUUUGCAGGGUACGGGAGAAUCGGGGAAAUCUACUUUCAUCAAGCAGAUGCGCAUCAUUCACGGUGCCGGUUAUUCCGACGAAGACAAACGGGGUUUUAUCAAACUCGUCUAUCAAAACAUAUUCAUGGCAAUGCAGAGCAUGAUACGAGCCAUGGAUAUGUUACACAUUUCUUACGGAGACUCGCCUAAUAUAGAAAAAGCGGAACUAGUCCGGUCCGUUGACUACGAAACUGUCACAACUUUUGAAAGCCCUUACGUCGAAGCCAUACGGGACUUGUGGAGAGAUGCCGGCAUACAAGAAUGCUAUGACCGGAGGCGUGAAUAUCAACUCACUGAUUCUGCUAAAUACUAUUUAGAAGCGCUAGAUCGUAUUGCCGCUCCGGAUUAUUUACCCACGCAGCAAGAUAUUUUGCGCGUUCGUGUCCCUACAACGGGCAUCAUCGAAUAUCCAUUUGACCUGCAAGAGAUCCGCUUCAGGAUGGUGGACGUGGGUGGACAGCGAUCCGAACGACGGAAAUGGAUUCAUUGUUUUGAAAAUGUUACUUCCAUCAUCUUCCUCGUUGCAUUAAGCGAGUACGAUCAGAUUCUUUUUGAAUCAGACAACGAGAACCGAAUGGAAGAGUCCAAGGCUUUAUUCCGCACUAUCAUCACGUAUCCAUGGUUCCAGCACUCGUCAGUCAUCUUGUUUUUGAACAAAAAAGAUCUUCUAGAAGAGAAGAUUAUUUACUCCCACAUAGUCGACUACUUCCCCGAAUAUGACGGACCCAAAAAAGAUCAUGUCGCUGCUCGCGAGUACAUCUUGAAAAUGUACAUGGCAAUGAAUCCAGAUCCGGAUCGAAGUUGCUAUUCCCACUUCACUGUCGCCACAGAUACUGAGAAUAUUAAGCUGGUGUUUUGUGCCGUCAAAGACACAAUCAUGCAGACUGCACUGAAAGAGUACAAUCUGGCUUAAAAAAAAGAAAGCCAGAUUUAAAAUUGUUGCCAUCGCCAGAUAAACUUGCAUUGGGGGAAAAGUUGUUCAGAUACGGAGAAUAUUCGUUUUGUUUUUGCCGCCGUUAAGGAUACUAUUCUGCAACUCAACUUGCGGGAGUACAAUUUGGUGUGAAUUUCUUCGAUCCCUUUCCUGUUUUCACGAUAACACGCAAAAAAAAGUUCACUGAAGAAUCCGCUCUUGCUCUCCCUCCGCCUCAGUCCUCCUUUACCCCACCCUUCUUAAGUCUUCAAAGGAAGAAAGAAGAAAAAGAUAUAUAGGGAUGGGAAGUGAACAUAGCAAGAAGUCUGGUUCCAUGGUUACUUGGGAUUCGGAUAGCAAUGCGUUAAAAUUAAAAAUUGUUUUCAAUUUCCUUCAAUUUCUUCUCUUGAUUGCCCAAUUAGUUUAAAGCCACUGCAAAUGGGUGGGGAAAAAAAUCGUAGUGGUGUGGUGAAAUGCCGUUAGAAUCUGAACAUGCUGCGCUCUCUCUUUGCUCUCUCUUUGCCACUUUUUGAGGGGGGAGAGGGAGACUGAUAUUCGUCGUGACCUGCGCAUUAAAAACAGGUCAAGUUGUGAAUCGUUCGCAGAGCUCAGUGACCAAAUGGUGUUACCUCUUCCUUUCCCUGACACAACCGCGUCCUCCCCUUUGCCCGUUUCCGCUCUGUGUACAUAAUGAAUUUAAAAAGAGACAACAACAAAAGCAAAAAAAAAAAAAAAAAAUGUCGAUCAUUUGUUUCUUCCUCUCCUAUCUCUUAUGCUCUGCUACCCUCCUUCAGAUUUCGACUCCCCUCCCCCCCUCCCCAAAAAAAAACUCGAGUUAAAAGGUUCAAUUAGAUACAAAACAUGUAGAAGAAUUGCUUGAGUUUUUCGUUUUUGUUUCUUUAAAUCCCGUUUCGACUCGAAAGCAUUUUUUGUUGUUUGAAAUUAAGGGCAAAACACACAUUCUGUAUUCAAUGAAAUUUCUAUGUGUGUAUGUCUGUGUGUGUGCGUGUGUGUAUGUGCAUGUUAUAUGAGAUGUGCUGAUCACAGGCGAAACUAACGUGUAGACAGGUUUUGUAAGAAGGUGCGCAGGUUAACUGAAGCAGAAGGCGGGGGGAAGAAACAUUGCCUAGCUAGAAUCGUACUAAUAUUAAUUAUUAUAACAGUUUUGUCACUGCGUGUUCAUUUCUGCGCGGGAGACAAAGAAAAUUAAGACAGAUAGGACGAUACCCUUUUUUCCCUGCACUGACCGCCUCCCCCCUUCUUCUCUCCACUUCUUCUCCUCCCGAUUUCGGCUCUAGUCUCGCCCGCCAGUUGUUCAUUAUUGGGGACAUGACAUAAGAAAAGGAAAAAAAAAAAAUGAUUAAAUCUUCUGCGGACCCAUGGAAUCUAUACGUUAUUCUUCAUUUCUUUUGACUGUACUUAAAAGAAAAAAAAAACGAAGUCAUCGGCCAUUUUAGUCGCAAAUUGAUUGUUCUCGCUCCUCCAUCGUGUGUAUGUGCAAUUUUUCAAUUUUUUUUUUAAAUUCUCCCUAUUCCCUUCUUCCAAACCCAUUUCUCCCUCUUAUCUUCCCAUUUCUCACUUGUUCUAUAUACUGUGACCCGCCUACCACCCAUUCCCUAUCCUCCCAGUUUUGAUUCUUUAGUUUUUAUCAAUGAAUGCGUUUGUUUAUAUUUUGCGCGCGGAUGGUGUGUGGCCAUCAGUUUCAAUUACUUUCUAUGUUAGGGUUUUCUUGUAACCCCUUCAAGAAAGAUGACAUAGAUUCGUAGUUCUUUUAUUUUUAUUUUUGUUAAUCAGAAAAAAAAGUAAAAAAGGUAAAAAAAAAAAUCAUUUUCUUCCCGCCACUUGUGUGCUGUCUUGCUCGAAAAAAAAAAUAAACAAAACAAAGAAAAACAAAAAAAAAACAAAAAACGAAAGGAAAUGGAAAAAAAAGGAAAAAAAUUGAAUAAUGGCGGUGUCUUGACUUUGAUCCGUUUGAUUUCAUUCGCUAUCUCUAGCUCUCUUUUCUUAAUUUCAAUUGUAAUUCUAUUGUAUUGUACUGUACCGUGUACUGUAUUGAUGAUUUAAUCCGACAUUGGAAAUGAAGAAAUGGUUGAAAUGA
rnacentral:misc_RNA from 1 species